UAGACUACGUGCAGCGUUCGAGGAAAAUGGGGGCAAACCUGAGAGUAACCCGUUCGGAGCACGCCAAGUGCGUCUGUAUUUGCGCGAGGUACGCGAGAUGCAGGCCAAAGCGAGAGGGAUCGCCUACGAGAAGAAGAAGCGGAAGCGAAUGCCGAAUGCGGGCUCUGGAGGCUCUCAGGGCGGGGUGAACGGUAUGAAUGGGGUGAAUGGUAUGAACCUGAGCAACGGCGUCGGCGGUAUGACUAACGGCAAUGUUCAUGCCAUGCCGGCGCAGCAAUGAGCGAACUGUUUGAACAGACGUCACAGUCCCGUCACAGUUUUGGUCGAAACAGAUUAUAUACAACGACACCACUGAAGUUCUGGUGUCUCCCUCUACAAAAGGUGAUUCUAUUUUCGUCACGACGACGACGACGAUGGUUUUCGGAGCUACUGCAGUAACACGGCGAAAGCAGAUUCUUCUUUGUAUAUAGAUCCUUUUAGAUCUUCACUCUCCUCUUCAGAGAAUCUGUAGAUAUUCUCUUCAUGUCCUCCGAUCCACAUAUAAGGUCCACCAUUCCUAGUUACAUGUUUACAGGAAGAUUAACAACCGCCGUCAGGUCCGUCGAUCUGUACAGGUUCCACAAGGUAUAGAUGUAGACAUCUUCUUUACUCUCUCCAUCCCCCCUGGUUCUUCUUCCGGUUCCCUAGACUCACCCUAUUCGCCUUCAUCAGUUUUGCAAAGAAAUUGGGGCAAUCUGUUUCUAGCUUUUUUCGCUGCGGCCGACUCCGAGGCUUUUCUCUUGUGGAAUUGGAAUAAAUACUGAAGGUACCUCGGGGACGGUGGCUCCAGGAACAUAAUGUAGUGUAUCU
rnacentral:lncRNA from 1 species